CUCUCAAUAUUUUUUGUUCCGUUACUGUGUUUCAUAUCCUUUCUGCCAUCAUUAUCAAGGCCUCGGCUUCGCCCAAUACCCAACUUUGGCAAACCCCGGUUCAGUCCCUCAAGUAGUAGAACACAAGCUUUACACCAUUUUUGGCUUGAAAUGUAACCACAACGUUCACAAGUCCCCUGCUCUGGCAUUUUUGUAUUAGUGGAUAUUCUGAAAUUCUCCCCUGAUUUAAUGAUGUCAAGUAUGGCCCUAGGCCUGAUUCUCUCCAAAUCUUUGAUGAACUCACGAGCAAAACCACGGUAUGCAUUUGGAGAAUAUAUACAUUCUGUGGAGAAGUAAUCCAGCCUUUUGAAAUAAGCAUACAUAACAAUCUCCUUCUCAUAGGUGUACUUGAAAGGCUUGCAUCUUGGAAUUGGACCAUCUUCACCAGUUGUUAUUGAAGUGCAUCUACUCAAUCUAGCAAUAUCUCCUCGCAAUAUAUUCAAAAGAACUGUUUCGGCAAUAUCAUCUGCGUUAUGCCCAGUAGCAACCUUGUCUACUUUCAACAAUGCAGCACCUCGAUCAAGGGCCUGACGACGAAAAACACCACAAAAUGUGCAAUUAUUCUUUA
rnacentral:misc_RNA from 1 species